AUUGAACGCUGGCGGCAUGCUUUACACAUGCAAGUCGAACGGUAACAGGCCGCAAGGUGCUGACGAGUGGCGAACGGGUGAGUAAUGCAUCGGAACGUGCCCAAUCGUGGGGGAUAACGCAGCGAAAGCUGUGCUAAUACCGCAUACGAUCUGUGGAUGAAAGCGGGGGACUCGCAAGGGCCUCGCGCGAUUGGAGCGGCCGAUGUCAGAUUAGGUAGUUGGUGAGGUAAAGGCUCACCAAGCCAACGAUCUGUAGCUGGUCUGAGAGGACGACCAGCCACACUGGGACUGAGACACGGCCCAGACUCCUACGGGAGGCAGCAGUGGGGAAUUUUGGACAAUGGGGGCAACCCUGAUCCAGCAAUGCCGCGUGCAGGAAGAAGGCCUUCGGGUUGUAAACUGCUUUUGUACGGAACGAAACGGUCUGGGUAAAUACCCUGGGCUAAUGACGGUACCGUAAGAAUAAGCACCGGCUAACUACGUGCCAGCAGCCGCGGUAA
rnacentral:rRNA from 1 species